GCCCGUCCCGCAAAUCACGCCUCGCGAAAGAAAUGCGUCGUCAAACUUUCCCCACAAUCAGGCCCCAACCACGCCCAUACAGCUCCGCUCCAAUCGGAACGCCGCCCGCAGCUCCGGCUCCCUCAUCCACCUCUCAGCCUCCAACGUCCCUCCCCGCGCCAUCCACCUCAUGUCGCGAUGCGCCCCCGCCAUGGCAACGGCCUGAAUGCAUCUUGCAGUGGACGGCCGUCAGCAUCUCCUGCUCCAUCCCGAGCAAUGUCCACGGCGCCGCCAGCCACCAUAGCGCCGCUGGACUCUGAGGGCUUGAGGCCUGGCGAUUCAACCAGUUCCACAACCCACGCCCAGUACCCAUUAUCCUCGUCGCGUAUGCGGACCCUCUGGAGCAGGCUGGGGAACCGCAUCGAUUCCAGAAGAUCGCCAUCAAUAUGGGAAUGAUCUGCAUCAAAUCGAUCCAACCUUACAAUUGGAAUCUCGGAGAUAUCUGAGCGAUUCGAGGAGCAGGGGUCAUGGGCGAGGAGAGCAAUCCGACGGCGAGGGCUUCGACAUCACCACGCGGUGGUAAUUUUACUGGCAAAUUUGGUAGCUUCGUUGGACAUGGUUGUGCUUUUUUGGAGAAGAAGCACUAUUGCAGUUCAGUAUAGAGUCAAAAGCAAUUUGCAGCUACCAGAGCAAAGUUGUCUCAACUCCGCGACGAUUAGGUUUUCUUCUCUCUAUAUUUAUUUCUACACCUCAUCCACUAGGCCAAGCGCAUCAUCAAUAUGUUUCCAUGGUAAUGAUUCAACUCGUCUCUAUUUCUCUCUGAAUUUUCUAACUGCGGCAGGUCAAUGGAUGAAUGGAAUCGCUAUGCACUGGUCUUGGACUAUCGAUGGUCACAAGAUUUAGCGACUGUCGAUGGAAUCAAAAAUAACAUCAUGCUUCCGGUUUUUGCAAGCUCAUCCCAGGAGCUACUCUGCAGUGUUCUUCUAAUUGUACAUGGUACGCCUUGCACCGGGUGUUUCAGUGGGGGCAACACCUGACCAACGACAUGUUCGAGCCCGACGUGAUGAUAUGGAAGGCGCAACAGAAUAAACAGAGAUGGGGAGCAUAUGGAGGGCUACAAAUCCUUCCUCCCAUCCGUCUGCAAUGUGUGAUGAGGGACAAGCAACAUCGGCCGGCGCUCCAUCACUGGCCGCCGCGCUGGCGACAGUGGGAAGGGGAAGAUGGCGGCAGAAUUCGGGGUUCACCAGGAGAACAGUGCAUCUAGGUGUGCGGUGGCGGUAUCAGAGUCGGAGGCGGAGGUGGUACAGAGUGUACGUUGUCCGACAGGUCGCUGAUGCCCAUGGCCGUCGGCCAGAACGUGUUGGGUCGCUGAUGCAGGACGGCGGCGCAAUCGCCACAGUAAAUUCAGAGGCAUGAAGCCAUGAACUGAACAACUAGCUAAGAUAACAUGCAAUCAUUCUAUAUUGCACUUCAACCAUCAAGCACUUCAGAAGAUUUGGGGCGUUCGAGUGCACCGGGCACCAGUGUCUCGACAAGACGACGGUGAUCACGGUUGCGUGGACCUGUUGUUGAGGAUUGUCGCGCGGAGGUGCCCCAAGUGCAACUGCAGGUAAGUGCUUAACCUGAAUCUUUUGCUCACAAGCUAAUUAUUUUCAAGUUACAAACUACAGUGAGGCAGGUUCCUAUCCGCUACAUGCGUGGAUUUUCAGGUGCAUGCAUUCUAUCUGCUACACAUUGGCUUUUCAGGUGCAUGCAUUCUAUCUGCUACAUGCGUGGCUCCAUGAUGAUGGGUGCAUAUAUAUGUUUGCACGAAUAUGGAGUACUAAUUUACAUAACUAUCGUCAGGUUAAAGCAUGCACCGUACACCUAAUUUUGGUGUGCAAAAUGCCACAAUCUUAUUCAUAUUUCACAUCAAAAUAUUGGAGUCUUCAUACUUCUUCCAUUGAUCUCAACUGAUUUACUUAGAGAACUUCAGAUACGUUGGUUAGGCAAUGCCUUCUACGGCUCUUCUUUGUUGGUACAAAUAAAAAAAAGGUGUCAUAUUUUCUUUCUUCAACAGUAAGAUAGAUUGGAAAUCAUGGGUAGAACAAAGAGAAGCAAAUAUUUAUUUUCAAAUUUAGUAGUGAAGGAACGUGUAGUAUAUAUGUUCUACUUCCUCUAGAUAUAUUCAUUUUUUUGUCAGUUAUUUUCUGGUAGUGAAGAAAAUAUUUAAUAAAAAUUAACCCGUAUGCACAGUUGUAUUCUCAAAUACUUACUAAGAUGGGCAUCUUCAAUAUUUAUUUUGAUUCAGAAUGUUGCAUGGACUUAUUACUUAGCAUGCAUUUAAUAUUUUUUAGCAUUUUAUUGUUGUAAUGGGAUACAGUAUUAAGACAUGGAAAAAAUAGCGCGCUAUUUCGACGUUAAUAGCACGCUAUAGCGUUUUUGGACACGCCACACUACAUCAUUUUGGCGCUAUAGCGUGCUAUAGCGCGCUAUAGCACGCUAAUAGCGUAUUUUUCAGCCGACGCUAUUUUGUUAUAGCGCGCUAUUUUUUUCCUAAGAUUUGUCAAUUUUGUUCUUGAUUGUAAUUCUUGGGCGAUUAGCUACAAGUACUCAUGUCCUUUUGUAGAUUGUUGAGCUUUAGAAUGAAAGAAUCGUAAAGUUGAAUAGACUUGGGCAUCAGGUAGAUAAAUUAAUUUGAUUUGGGUGUUGCCAAUGAUUAAAGAUGAAUCGACGAGAAGGUCACCUGCAGGCUGUGUACAUUUUGUGCAAAUAUCUUGGUUUGGAAAAUCAACAUUUAUAACUACCCAUGUAUACCCAUGCUAUUGUUUUGCAAGUUGUGCCAUUGUUAGUAGUACAAAAUGUAAGAUUGCAAGAAUGUUUUAGAGAAGAGCUUGACACAACAUUUUACUACUUGAAGCAUUUUGGAGUUCGUACAAUGUUUCCUUAUAUCUAGAUCUUUUUUGCAUACAUAUAUGUAUGGUAAGGUGAUUUGUUUUCUUUUGAAGCUAAUGCGCGUCAACACUUUCUCCUUUCAUCUUUUUUAAUUAGACGUGUGUGAUCUGAUAAAUCGCAUAACAGAUGGACGCAUCAAGAGGUCCAAUUGUGAUUUGGGUUGUUGAUCUAAGAGCCUUGCAAGACCUCUAUUACUCUAUAGUGCAUAUGAACGAAGUUGUGAGCUAAAAGAUCUGUCAUGGUUUGACCACUUUUUAAGACUGGAGAGCAUACAGUCAGGUCAGACCCUCAACAAAUUAUCAACAUAUACAGAUUAUAAUGAUAUGAGGGUUGUGCUCGGAUAAAUUUGUGUACAUCUCUCGAAGACUUUGUACUAUUUGAUAUGGCAUCAUUGGGUAGCAGUGUAGCAGCGCCUGUACUAUGUCCACAACUCACUUGUAUAAAAUAAAACCAAUAUUUAUUACCAGGUCAAUACAUUAUUUGUUGCUCCUCCUUUA